AGGAAGCAUGAAGUGCUCUAAAAUGUCCUGGUAGACGGCUGCGUUGACUCUGGACUUAAUAAUGCACAGUGGGCUCCCCAAAUCAACACAGACUAUGGAAACUUCACACUGUACUUCAAGCAUCUUGGAUUGUGUGCAUCUCCAUUCUUCCUCCAUACUCUGGGACAUUGGUUUCCAAAUGAGAUGCAAAAUGUGCUCUCAUCAGAUAAGAGGACUUUGGACCACUGAGCAACAGACCAGUUCUUUUAUUCUUUAGCCCAGUGUUGUUUGCUGACACCAUUAAUGGGACCAACGAGCAGUGGGAGGACACCAGCAGCAGCUGGCCGCCUGUAUUGCACCCAUCCCUGGGACAGCCCAUCGCAGGACCCGUUUCUCACCUUCCCAGUAGUUACUGCUCCCCGCGGCCAUCUUUGUCGUCCAACGUCACCCGGUCCGGCGAGUCGCUGAUAGAGAGGAGACUGAGCAGGGCUGGAAAGCCGCUAUGACGAGCCACUGACAUAUGGGCUGAGCGGCUGUAGAACAGUGACACCUGCCGGAAAAAUAUUAAAUUGCUUUUGCUUA